rnacentral:rRNA from 1 species
AAGAGUCUAGCCUGCCCAGUGAAAAUUUUUAACGGCCGCGGUACUCUGACCGUGCAAAGGUAGCAUAAUCACUUGCCUUAUAAUUGAAGGCUAGUAUGAAAGGUUUGACGAAAGUUAAGCUGUCUUUUUUUGAAUAAAAUGAAAUUAACUUACAGGUGCAAAGGCCUGUAUCUAACUAAAAGACAAGAAGACCCUAUUGAGCUUUAUAAAAAUAUAAUAGUAUAUGAUAUAUAAAUAAGAUUUUAAUCUAUUAAAAUUUUUAGUUGGGGCGACUUAGGAAUAAUAGUAACUUCCUAGAAUUAAAAACACUUAAUAAGUUUUUUUAUCCAAAAGAUCUUGAUUAUCAGAAUUAGUUACCAUAGGGAUAACAGCAUAAUCUUUCUUAGGAGCUCUAAUCGAAAGAAAGGAUUGUGACCUCGAUGUUGGACUAGAAUAUCCUAAAGGUGCAGAAGUUUUUAAGGGUUAGUCUGUUCG